GAUUAGAUAAGCUAAGUGUAAGCUAGUGGGUUCAUACCCCAACUAUGGGGGUUUCCCCUCUAAUCA
rnacentral:tRNA from 1 species